rnacentral:tRNA from 1 species
GGGCGCUUAGCUCAGCUGGUUUAGAGCAUCUGCCUUACAAGCAGAGGGUCGGCGGUUCGAAUCCGUCAACGCCCA